rnacentral:rRNA from 1 species
AUGAACGCUGGCGGCGUGCCUAAUACAUGCAAGUCGAGCGAACAGAUGAGGAGCUUGCUCCUCUGACGUUAGCGGCGGACGGGUGAGUAACACGUGGAUAACCUACCUAUAAGACUGGGAUAACUUCGGGAAACCGGAGCUAAUACCGGAUAAUAUAUUGAACCGCAUGGUUCAAUAGUGAAAGACGGUUUUGCUGUCACUUUUAGAUGGAUCCGCGCCGCAUUAGCUAGUUGGUAAGGUAACGGCUUACCAAGGCAACGAUGCGUAGCCGACCUGAGAGGGUGAUCGGCCACACUGGAACUGAGACACGGUCCAGACUCCUACGGGAGGCAGCAGUAGGGAAUCUUCCGCAAUGGGCGAAAGCCUGACGGAGCAACGCCGCGUGAGUGAUGAAGGUCUUCGGAUCGUAAAACUCUGUUAUUAGGGAAGAACAAAUGUGUAAGUAACUAUGCACGUCUUGACGGUACCUAAUCAGAAAGCCACGGCUAACUACGUG